rnacentral:rRNA from 1 species
CACGUAGGGUGCGAGCGUUGUCCGGAAUUAUUGGGCGUAAAGAGCUCGUAGGCGGUGUGUCGCGUCGGCCGUGAAAACCUGCAGCUUAACUGUGGGCGUGCGGUCGAUACGGGCAUCACUGGAGUUCGGCAGGGGAGACUGGAAUUCCUGGUGUAGCGGUGAAAUGCGCAGAUAUCAGGAGGAACACCGGUGGCGAAGGCGGGUCUCUGGGCCGAUACUGACGCUGAGGCGCGAAAGCAUGGGGAGCGAACAGG